AAGAUAUUAGUAAAAUAAUUACACCACUUUGUCAAGGUGGAAUUGUGAGUUAAAAACUCACAUAUCUUA
rnacentral:tRNA from 1 species